CGGAGGGGCUAGCGUUGUUCGGAAUUACUGGGGCGUAAAGCGCACGUAGGCGGACAUUUUAGUCAGGGGUGAAAUCCCGGGGCUCAACCCCGGAACUGCCCUUGAUACUGGAUGUCUGGAGGUCGAGAGAGGUGAGUGGAAUUCCGAGUGUAGAGGUGAAAUUCGUAGAUAUUCGGAGGAACACCAGUGGCGAAGGCGGCUCACUGGCUCGAACCUGACGCUGAGGUGCGAAAGCGUGGGGAGCAAACAGGAUU
rnacentral:rRNA from 1 species